GGGCACAUGGUCUAGGGGUAUGAUUUUCGCUUCGCAUCGCCGAGAAUGUGACUGUGAAAGGUCCGGGGUUCAAAUCCCCGUGUGUCCA